UUUGACGCCCAGUCAAUAGAAUGCACCAGAAUUUCUGUUUGUGAAAGGAGAUCUUUGUAGCUAUAGGUGGAAAAAAAUUAGUCACCAUUUAUGCUGUUGCUCAGAGCAAGAAGGUGAUGCAAGGACAGAGGAAGAGAGAUACAGAUGUGAACCAGACAAGGGCGCCCCCUUAAGGACACUGGAACACAUAAGGAGCUGCUCCGUUAGUCCAGUCCUGACCUAUUCUUUGCCGUUCAGACAGAAAGCUGACUUGGGAAGGAAUUUUCUGCUUUCCUCUGCUGUUCCUGCAAAUGGACAGAUUUUAAGGGUUGACCCAGAGUGAUGUGUGGCACUGGGGACUCGCAGUGUACUAAGGAGGGGAACCCAAUUACUUUCUAUAGCAAAACCCAAUUCUUCUGGAUCCAUUGCUCUAAAACCAAGAGUUAUAUGGCUUUGUUUGGGAAUUUCCUUUUCUCCAGGCAAAAUGAGCUUCAUAUUCUGAAAAUGGUGCUAUGAGGCAUAGCACUGUGACGAGGUGUGAGGAUGAAAGUGAUAUAACUUUAAAACAGUACUAUGCCUGCUAUUUGAUAAGAACCCAAUAAAUGGUAGCUAAUACUAUUGCAACCCCCCCUUUUAUUUGCUUAGCAAUUUUGCUUUUCCGCUUCUUCCCCAUUCAAGCAGUAUUGAGAUAUAUUUGGCAUUUAACAUUGUGUAAGUUUAAGGUGCACAACUUUCGAUUUGAUAGACUCAUAUAUUGCAAUAUGAUUGUCACCAUAGAGUUAGCUAACACAUCCAUCAAAUUAUAUAAUUAUCAUUUCAUUUUUUGUGGUAAGAACAUUGAAGAUCUACUCUCUUUGCAACUUCAAAGUAUAUAUAAUACAGUAUUGUUAACUAUAAUCACACUGUUGUACAUUAGAUCCUUAGAACCUAUUCACCUUCUCCCUGGAAGUUUGUACCCUUUGACCAGCAUUUCCUCAAUUUCCCUUGCCUCUCUCAGCCUUUGGCAACCACCAGUUCUACUCUCUGCUUCUAUGAGUUCAGUGUUACUGUAUUAUUAGAUGUCACAUACGAGUGAGAUCAUACAGUAUUUGUCUUUUCCUGUCUGACUUAUGUCACUUAGUAUAACGCACUGAAGGUCCAUCUGUGUUGUAGCAAAUGGCAGGAUUUCCUUCUUUCUCAUGUGAAUCAUGUCACUUUUGCAGAAAACAGUGAGAUUUAAUUUCUCAAUUUAUAUACCUAUUUCUGCUCCUUUCUUGUGGAAAAAGUUUCAAGAAAUGUUAUUUUCUUCUUUGUCUCUUCUGAUAUUAAUUGAACUAGUCCUGCUUCCUCUCUCACAUAAAUGUAUUUUCUCUCUUGCCUUCAAGGAUAAAAAUUCAGUGAACAUAAAAUAGUAAUUUGUUAGAAAACACUUGGGAAAGGAUUUCCCACCUUGGGGCUGAUGCAGCUGUUUUGUCACAUGACUGACGUGGCUGUGUCCCUGUGCAUCCAGGGGUAAGCUCCGUUCUCGAAGUACCCUGAGUAGGGAAAUGGGACAGUUGUCCAACAUGCCAUAAUAUUUAUUGUUUCUGCAUGUUCUGGGGGAAAUAUGUCUUAAUUCCCAGAAUUUCUUCAAUAUUUGAAAGACAAAACAAAGACAAGUGCAAGGGUGUUUCUCUAAGACAUUAAAUCAAAUGCAGUUAGUGAUAAUACAAGAUUCUGAAAAGGUUUUCUUGUCCCAUUAAAAAUUGAAAUAUUAGUGAUAUGCAAGGAAGUAUACUUC